GCUUUCAGUUUUCUCUCACCUCCUAUACUUGUAUGACUAGUUCAGCUUAAAAUGAAACAACAAACUACUAUUGUAAAACACAGUACCAAAGCUUAAAACCCUAAUCUUGAAUCACAUUCCUGACUUUCUUUCAUCCAAAUAUAAAUAUCACAGUUUUCCACAAGCAGUAAUUUGAAAAAUACCCACAUAGAAAUUCUAGCAUAAACAUAAAGUUACCUCCAUCAAACACAUCUUCACAGUUGACAUUCCUUCAAUGGUGAUUCUAGAGAAUGGAGUGAAAAUCAAAACCCACCAACAAAUUAUCUUCAAUCAGCAAACCCAAUCACCAGCAGAUCUGAACCAAAAUGAAUGACAAUAAAAAGGGGACAAAGCUAAACAACAGUGGCAAUGGAAUAUAGUAUAAAGACACAAUUUUUGGGACUAGUUAUGACCCGUCCCCCAAAAGAAGUGGUCCUAAAGAUGGGUAUUUUCUGAAAAUGAGAGAGAUUAAUGAGAACAUGGGUUUGGGGGUUUGGACUGAAAGAAAAGUGAAACAGAGAUGUGUAAACAUUCAUGUCAUCCUGUACCGUUUGGUUUCUU
rnacentral:lncRNA from 1 species